rnacentral:rRNA from 1 species
UGGGGAAUAUUGCGCAAUGGGGGAAACCCUGACGCAGCGACGCCAUGUGAAGGAUGACGGCUCUAGGGUUGUAAACUUCUGUCUAGAGGGAAGAAUAAAUUGACGGUACCUCUAAAGAAAGCACCGGCUAACUCCGUGCCAGCAGCCGCGGUAAUACGGAGGGUGCAAGCGUUAUUCGGAAUUACUAGGUGUAAAGGGCGUGUAGGCGGUUUGAUAAGUUAGAUGUGAAAUUCCAUAGCUCAACUGUGGACCUGCAUCUAAAACUGUCAGACUUGAGUAUGGAAGGGGAAAACGGAAUUUCUAGUGUAGCGGUGGAAUGUGUAGAUACUAGAAGGAACAUCGAUGGCGAAAGCGGUUUUCUGGUCUAAUACUGACGCUAAGGCGCGAAAGCUAGGGGAGCAAACAGG